rnacentral:rRNA from 1 species
UACGUAGGGUGCGAGCGUUGUCCGGAAUUAUUGGGCGUAAAGGAGCUUGUAGGCGGUCUGUCGCGUCUGCUGUGAAAUCCGGGCGUCAACCCGGACUUGCAGUGGGUACGGGCAGACUAGAGUGUGGUAGGGGAGACUGGAAUUCCUGGUGUAGCGGUGAAAUGCGCAGAUAUCAGGAGGAACACCGAUGGCGAAGGCAGGUCUCUGGGCCACUACUGACGCUGAGAAGCGAAAGCAUGGGGAGCGAACAGG